GAUGAACGCUAGCUACAGGCUUAACACAUGCAAGUCGAGGGACCGGCGCGCGGGUGAGUAGCACGUAUCCAACCUGCCCUUUACUCGGAGAUAGCCUAUCGCAGGAAAGAUUAAUGCCCGAUAUAAAUGUAGGGGAUGCGUUCCUUUAGGUUGUUGGUGAGGUAUCGGCUCACCAAGACUUCGACGGAUAGGGGUUCUGAGAGGAAGGUCCCCCACAAUGGAACUGAGGCACGGUCCAAACUCCUACGGGAGGAAGCAGUGAGGAAUAUUGGGCAAUGGGCGCUAGCGUGAACCAGCCAAGUAGCGUGAAGGAUGAAGGCUUAUGGGUCGUAAAUUUCUUGUAUAGAAGAAUAGGUAUUAUAUGAAUAAGGAUCGGCUAACUCCGUGCCAGCCGCCGCGGUAAUAC
rnacentral:rRNA from 1 species